AACGAACGCUGGCGGCAUGCCUAACACAUGCAAGUCGAACGAGACCUUCGGGUCUAGUGGCGCACGGGUGCGUAACGCGUGGGAACCUGCCCUUAGGUUCGGAAUAACUCCCCGAAAGGGGUGCUAAUACCGGAUAAUGUCUUCGAACCAAAGAUUUAUCGCCUUUGGAUGGGCCCGCGUUGGAUUAGCUAGUUGGUAGGGUAAAAGCCUACCAAGGCGACGAUCCAUAGCUGGUCUGAGAGGAUGAUCAGCCACACUGGGACUGAGACACGGCCCAGACUCCUACGGGAGGCAGCAGUGGGGAAUAUUGGACAAUGGGCGAAAGCCUGAUCCAGCAAUGCCGCGUGAGUGAUGAAGGCCUUAGGGUUGUAAAGCUCUUUUACCCGGGAUGAUAAUGACGGUACCGGGAGAAUAAGCUCCGGCUAACUCCGUG
rnacentral:rRNA from 1 species